rnacentral:rRNA from 1 species
GACGAACGCUGGCGGCGUGCCUAAUACAUGCAAGUAGAACGCUGAAGAGAGGAGCUUGCUCUUCUUGGAUGAGUUGCGAACGGGUGAGUAACGCGUAGGUAACCUGCCUUGUAGCGGGGGAUAACUAUUGGAAACGAUAGCUAAUACCGCAUAACAAUGGAUGACACAUGUCAUUUAUUUGAAAGGGGCAAUUGCUCCACUACAAGAUGGACCUGCGUUGUAUUAGCUAGUAGGUGAGGUAAUGGCUCACCUAGGCGACGAUACAUAGCCGACCUGAGAGGGUGAUCGGCCACACUGGGACUGAGACACGGCCCAGACUCCUACGGGAGGCAGCAGUAGGGAAGCUUCGGCAAUGGGGGCAACCCUGACCGAGCAACGCCGCGUGAGUGAAGAAGGUUUUCGGAUCGUAAAGCUCGGUUGUAAGUCAAGAACGGGUGUGAGAGUGGAAAGUUCACACUGUGACGGUAGCUUACCAGAAAGGGACGGCUAACUACGUG